GAACAACUCCAACGCGAUGAAUGCGAGAAAGUCCUUUGAGAAGCAUGCGGGUGUAGACUCUUGCUUCGUAUUCAAAGAUUGGCCUCUUCCUGAUUAAAUCUCCAAGGGAACCGUAAGGUGUAAACUCCAUGAAGAGGUUGUAGGUGAAGUGACCUUUCUCCAAAGUGUGUUGGCCAAAAUAGCUUUGAAUGAUUUCUUCACAACCAAUGAAUGAUUUCAUGAUCCUUUCUUCUCUUUGCAGUGGACCACUCAAGAAUGGCCUUGAACUCUUCACAGCUACCACAUUUCUUUUUCCUUGUGACGGAAUGACAACUGCAAGGUAAACAACUGCAGAGGAACCAUUCCCCAAUGUUCUUAACUUCAUCCACC
rnacentral:lncRNA from 1 species